AAAUUGAAGAGUUUGAUCAUGGCUCAGAUUGAACGCUGGCGGCAGGCCUAACACAUGCAAGUCGAACGGUAACAGGAAGCAGCUUGCUGCUUUGCUGAUGAGUGGCGGACGGGUGAGUAAUGUCUGGGAAACUGCCUGAUGGAGGGGGAUAACUACUGGAAACGGUAGCUAAUACCGCAUAACGUCGCAAGACCAAAGAGGGGGACCUUCGGGCCUCU
rnacentral:rRNA from 1 species